rnacentral:rRNA from 1 species
CACGCAGGGGGCGAGCGUUGUCCGGAAUUAUUGGGCGUAAAGAGCUCGUAGGCGGUUUGUCGCGUCUGCUGUGAAAUCCCGAGGCUCAACCUCGGGUCUGCAGUGGGUACGGGCAGACUGGAGUGCGGUAGGGGAGAAUGGAAUUCCUGGUGUAGCGGUGGAAUGCGCAGAUAUCAGGAGGAACACCGAUGGCGAAGGCAGUUCUCUGGGCCGUAACUGACGCUGAGGAGCGAAAGCGUGGGGAGCGAACAGG